GCUGGCGGCGUGCUUCACACAUGCAAGUCGAACGGGGAUCCAACUAGUGGCAACACNAGGGAAGAUCUAGUGGCGAACGGGUGCGUAACACGUGAGGAACCUACCCCGGACUCUGGAAUAACAGCGGGAAACCGCUGCUAAUACUGGAUAUCGUCGCACGGUCGCAUGGCCGAGUGACGAAAGAUUUAUCGGUUCGGGACGGUCUCGCGGCCUAUCAGCUUGUUGGCGGGGUAACGGCCCACCAAGGCAUCGACGGGUAGCUGGUCUGAGAGGAUGAUCAGCCACACUGGGACUGAGACACGGCCCAGACUCCUACGGGAGGCAGCAGUGGGGAAUCUUGCGCAAUGGGCGAAAGCCUGACGCAGCAACGCCGCGUGGGGGAUGAAGGCUCUCGGGUUGUAAACCCCUUUCAGCAGGAACGAAAAUGACGGUACCUGCAGAAGAAGGCCCGGCCAACUACGUGCCAGCAGCCGCGGUAAUACGUAGGGGCCAAGCGUUGUCCGGAUUUAUUGGGCGUAAAGAGCUCGUAGGCGGUUUGGAUAGUCGGGUGUGAAAACUCCGAGCUCAACUCGGAGACGCCACCCGAUACUGCCAUGACUAGAGUCCGGUAGGGGAGCAGGGAAUUCCAGGUGUAGC
rnacentral:rRNA from 1 species